rnacentral:rRNA from 1 species
AUACGGAGGAUCCGAGCGUUAUCCGGAUUUAUUGGGUUUAAAGGGUGCGCAGGCGGCCAUUUAAGUCAGCGGUUAAAUCGUGGGGCUCAACCCCAUUCUGCCGUUGAUACUGGGUGGCUUGAUUGCGGUCGAGGUUGGCGGAAUUCGUUGUGUAGCGGUGAAAUGCAUAGAUAUGACGAAGAACACCGAUUGCGUAGGCAGCUGACCAGAUCGCAAAUGACGCUCAUGCACGAAAGUGCGGGGAUCGAACAGGAUUAGGUACCCUGGUAGUCCGCACAGUAAACGAUGAAUACUUGUUUUCGGCGAUAUAAUGUCGGAGGCAAAGCGAAAGCGAUAAGUAUUCCACCUGGGGAGUACGCCGGCAACGGUGAAACUUAAAGGAAUUGACGGGG